AACAGUUGGAAACGACUGCUAAUACCGCAUAAGCCCACGGUACCGCAUGGUACUGAGGGAAAAGGAUUUAUUCGCUUUAGGAUGGACUCGCGUCCAAUUAGCUAGUUGGUGAGGUAACGGCCCACCAAGGCGACGAUUGGUAGCCGGACUGAGAGGUUGAACGGCCACAUUGGGACUGAGACACGGCCCAGACUCCUACGGGAGGCAGCAGUGGGGGAUAUUGCACAAUGGGGGAAACCCUGAUGCAGCGACGCCGCGUGGAGGAAGAAGGUUUUCGGAUUGUAAACUCCUGUCGUUAGGGACGAUAAUGACGGUACCUAACAAGAAAGCACCGGCUAACUACGUGCCAGCAGCCGCGGUAAAACGUAGGGUGCAAGCGUUGUCCGGAAUUACUGGGUGUAAAGGGAGCGCAGGCGGGAAGACAAGUUGGAAGUGAAAACCAUGGGCUCAACCCAUGAAUUGCUUUCAAAACUGUUU
rnacentral:rRNA from 1 species